rnacentral:ncRNA from 1 species
UGCGUAGAGGCGCGUUGUUCAUGAGUAUUUUCGCCGAGGAAGCCCAAAUUCCGCCGAAACGAAAAGAAAGGGGAUGACGCCGAAGGAGGCAGUACGGGCGGCUGUGCUCCUGGUGAUACGGAUAACAUCCGUAUGACUGUCAGCAUAUAAUAUACACGUCUGCAUCUUGGAGGAUGCGUCCGGGUAUUUCGGACGUUGCAGACACCGGAUAUUAUAUGGUGGAGUGCUAUG